GAUGAAGAACGUAGCGAAAUGCGAUAAGUAGUGUGAAUUGCAGAAUUCAGUGAAUCAUCGAAUCUUUGAACGCACAUUGCGCCCCUUGGUAUUCCAUGGGGCAUGCCUGUUCGAGCGUCAUUUGUACCUUCAAGCUCUGCUUGGUGUUGGGUGUUUGUCUCGCCUUUGCGUGUAGACUCGCCUUAAAACCAUUGGCAGCCGGCGUAUUGAUUUCGGAGCGCAGUACAUCUCGCGCUUUGCACUCAGAACGACGACGUCCAAAAGUACAUUUUUACACUCUUGACCUCGGAUCAGGUAGGGAUACCCGCUGAACUUAAGCAUAUCAAUAAGCGGAGGA
rnacentral:misc_RNA from 1 species